AGGGUUUGAUUAUGGCUCAGGAUGAACGCUGGCGGCGUGCUUAACACAUGCAAGUCGAACGAAGCACUUCGGAUUCUUCGGUUGAAGAAGUGACUGAGUGGCGGACGGGUGAGUAACGCGUGGGUAACCUGCCCCAUACAGGGGGAUAACAGCUGGAAACGGCUGCUAAUACCGCAUAAGCGCACAGUGCUGCAUGGCACGGUGUGAAAAACUGAGGUGGUAUGGGAUGGGCCCGCGUCUGAUUAGGUAGUUGGUGCGGUAACGGCGCACCAAGCCCGCGAUCAGUAGCCGACCUGAGAGGGUGACCGGCCACAUUGGGACUGAGACACGGCCCAA
rnacentral:rRNA from 1 species